rnacentral:rRNA from 1 species
GAUGAACGCUGGCGGCGUGCCUAAUACAUGCAAGUCGAGCGGAGCGGGGACGGGGGAGUAAUACGUGGAUAACCUCCUAUAAGGCUGGGAUAACUUCGGGAAACCGGAGCUAAACCGGAUACUGAGCGAUGGAUCGGCGAUGCAUUAGCUAGUUGGUAAGGUAACGGCUUACCAAGGCUACGAUCCAUAGCCGACCUGAGAGGGUGAUCAGCCACACUGGGACUGAGACACGGUCCAGACUCCUACGGGAGGCAGCAGUAGGGAAUCUUCCGCAAUGGGCGAAAGCCUGACGGAGCAACGCCGCGUGAGUGAAGAAGGUCUUCGGGUCGUAAAACUCUGUUAUUAGGGAAGCGUUACCUAAUCAGAAAGCCACGGCUAACUACGUGCCAGCCGCCGCGGUAAUAC